rnacentral:rRNA from 1 species
UACGAAGGGGGCUAGCGUUGUUCGGAAUUACUGGGCGUAAAGCGCGCGUAGGCGGACCUGCAAGUCGGGGGUGAAAGCCCGAGGCUCAACCUCGGAACUGCCUUCGAUACUGCGGGUCUCGAGUCCGGGAGAGGUGAGUGGAAUUCCUAGUGUAGAGGUGAAAUUCGUAGAUAUUAGGAAGAACACCAGUGGCGAAGGCGGCUCACUGGCUCGGUACUGACGCUGAGGCGCGAAAGCGUGGGGAGCAAACAGG